AGUUUGAUCCUGGCUCAGGAUGAACGCUAGCUACAGGCUUAACACAUGCAAGUCGAGGGGCAGCAUGAACUUAGCUUGCUAAGUUUGAUGGCGACCGGCGCACGGGUGAGUAACACGUAUCCAACCUGCCGAUGACUCGGGGAUAGCCUUUCGAAAGAAAGAUUAAUACCCGAUGGCAUAGUUCUUCCGCAUGGUGGAACUAUUAAAGAAUUUCGGUCAUCGAUGGGGAUGCGUUCCAUUAGGUUGUUGGCGGGGUAACGGCCCACCAAGCCUUCGAUGGAUAGGGGUUCUGAGAGGAAGGUCCCCCACAUUGGAACUGAGACACGGUCCAAACUCCUACGGGAGGCAGCAGUGAGGAAUAUUGGUCAAUGGACGAGAGUCUGAACCAGCCAAGUAGCGUGAAGGAUGACUGCCCUAUGGGUUGUAAACUUCUUUUAUACGGGAAUAAAGUGAGGCACGCGUGCCUUUUUGUAUGUACCGUAUGAAUAAGGAUCGGCUAACUCCGUGCCAGCAGCCGCGGUAAUACGGAGGAUCCGAGCGUUAUCCGGAUUUAUUGGGUUUAAAGGGAGCGUAGGCGGACGCUUAAGUCAGUUGUGAAAGUUUGCGGCUCAACCGUAAAAUUGCAGUUGAUACUGGGUGUCUUGAGUACAGUAGAGGCAGGCGGAAUUCGUGGUGUAGCGGUGAAAUGCUUAGAUAUCACGAAGAACUCCGAUUGCGAAGGCAGCUUGCUGGACUGUAACUGACGCUGAUGCUCGAAAGUGUGGGUAUCAAACAGGAUUAGAUACCCUGGUAGUCCACACAGUAAACGAUGAAUACUCGCUGUUUGCGAUAUACAGUAAGCGGCCAAGCGAAAGCGUUAAGUAUUCCACCUGGGGAGUACGCCGGCAACGGUGAAACUCAAAGGAAUUGACGGGGGCCCGCACAAGCGGAGGAACAUGUGGUUUAAUUCGAUGAUACGCGAGGAACCUUACCCGGGCUUGAAUUGCAACUGAAUGAUGUGGAGACAUGUCAGCCGCAAGGCAGUUGUGAAGGUGCUGCAUGGUUGUCGUCAGCUCGUGCCGUGAGGUGUCGGCUUAAGUGCCAUAACGAGCGCAACCCUUAUCGAUAGUUACCAUCAGGUGAUGCUGGGGACUCUGUCGAGACUGCCGUCGUAAGAUGUGAGGAAGGUGG
rnacentral:rRNA from 1 species